GAACUGCUGAAGAGUUCCACAAUAGGACGAAACGGCUGUCCAGUGC
rfam:Schistosoma rodhaini strain Burundi genome assembly, scaffold: SROB_scaffold0001446